CUGGGAGCUUUGCAGCAAUAUUGUUCACAUGAUUUGCAUCACUUCUGCUAUAAGAUUUACCAUUUUUUCUUGUUUGACCCUAAGGGAUGACGGCCGUGUCUGCCAUCAUCAUGUGAACGUGACACACCUACAACUAGCGCCCGCUAACCAUCAGUAAUGUGUAAUCAUUGGAGGCGCUGACCGGUCGUCACGGAUCCCUUGUUGAAUCAUAAUGAGCUGCUUUCUGCUGAGGAUCCUCUGGAGAGCAGUGCGCCAGCUGAGGCCCACAACAAAGGCAAGAAGCAAUGAUGACUUCAGACCAAGAGGAGAGGAAGGAUGCGGAGACAGCAGCAGAGGAAAGAGACCCAGACACAUAGAAUCCAAUAUUUUACUUUUGAGAACCGGGGUGAUUGUAUGCGUGUGUUGCAAACUGGAAUAUUGGCUGCAUUUCAUGUUUUUGCACACAGUUUGCCUCUUUGUAGCUCCUUUGACUCUCUUUGAGUCUCUUUGUAGCUGCUUGGAAUCUCUUUGUAGCUCCUUUGAGUCUCUUUGUAGCACAUUUGAGUCUCUUUGUAGCUGCUUUGAAUCUCUUUGUAGAACAUUUGAGUCUCUUUGUAGCUCCUUUGAGUCUCUUUGUAGCACAUUUGAGUCUCUUUGUAGCACAUUUGAGUCUCUUUGUAGCUUAUUUGAGUCUCUUUGUAGCUGCUUUGAAUCUUUUUAGCAUCUUUUGAGUUUGUAGUUGCUUUGUCUUUUCGUUCAUUCGCCCACCUGCCUAAACAUGUUUUGAAACAAUAAGUUGCUGCUUGGUUUGGUAAUUACUUUUUGUUUUCAAUAUUACCACUUAGCGGAGGCUUUCAAAGAAAAACUAGGAAUGCAACAUUUCCCAUUUAUUUUACCUUUUAACUUUUUGUUUGAGGGUUCAGUGAGUUUCUGUCAUCUGUGCUUCGAGUUAUUUUCAUUUGUUCAGUUCAUGUUCUCCUCCCACCUUUUGCUCAUCUGGGCUGAAGAAGCCUGAUGAAGGAGCAGCUCAACCGAGAACUGUACAUCGAUGAUUCAUCUUAAACUAUUUCGUUGUACAUCCCAACUACAAGCAUGAAGACUAAACUCGUACAAGCAGUAAAGAGGGGAAGGAAGAACAUGUCAAAGCGAUUCAGUCAAAAUCACAAACAAAGAACGUAGUCGAGCCUGGACGUGCACACGUGAGCCGUGUCCAUGGCGAGGUGCACAGCUCCGGCUCGGGUGUCAGACGUGCGCCUGUGAGGGGCGGCUUCACGCCAGACCGCGCUUUCACACGUCUAACAAGGCAACAGGAUGAGGGGUGAACGGAGUGAAGGAAGCGUCGCUCCUUCCACACGCCGAACUCUCCUCUCAGAAAGUCC
ensembl:lncRNA